GCGGGUAUCGUAUAACGGCUAUUAUUACAGAUUUCCAAUCUGUCGACGUGGGUUCGAUUCCCACUACCCGCUCCA
rnacentral:tRNA from 1 species